rnacentral:tRNA from 1 species
GCGGGCGUGGCGGAACUGGCAGACGCGCUAGACUUAGGAUCUAGUGGGUUUUACCUGUGGGAGUUCGAGUCACUCCGCCCGCACCA